UUACAUAGAUAUAAUAUAGAAA
rnacentral:snRNA from 1 species